rfam:Dichanthelium oligosanthes cultivar Kellogg 1175 unplaced genomic scaffold Do_version_2_scaffold2526, whole genome shotgun sequence.
GUGUUACUAGGAGUUCCCUAAAGCACUUUACAAGGUCUUGGCUUAAGGGCUCUUGUGAAGUGUUUGGGGGAACUCUUAGUGUCAC